GCAUCUGUAGCCUAGUUGGUAAAGGAAGCACUCUUGUAUGUGACUCAGCAUUGCUGAGGUUGUGAGUUCAAAUCUCACCAGGCACA
rnacentral:tRNA from 3 species